rnacentral:rRNA from 1 species
UACACUCCUACGGGAGGCAGCAGUGGGGAAUUUUGGACAAUGGGCGAAAGCCUGAUCCAGCAAUGCCGCGUGAGUGAAGAAGGCCUUCGGGUUGUAAAGCUCUUUUGUCAGGGAAGAAACGGUGAGAGCUAAUAUCUUUUGCUAAUGACGGUACCUGAAGAAUAAGCACCGGCUAACUACGUGCCAGCAGCCGCGGUAAUACGUAGGGUGCAAGCGUUAAUCGGAAUUACUGGGCGUAAAGCGUGCGCAGGCGGUUUUGUAAGUCUGAUGUGAAAUCCCCGGGCUCAACCUGGGAAUUGCAUUGGAGACUGCAAGGCUAGAAUCUGGCAGAGGGGGGUAGAAUUCCACGUGUAGCAGUGAAAUGCGUAGAUAUGUGGAGGAACACCGAUGGCGAAGGCAGCCCCCUGGGUCAAGAUUGACGCUCAUGCACGAAAGCGUGGGGAGCAAACAGGAUUAGAAACCCCUGUAGUCCCAUGAU